CUGUUUUUGUUAUACAUACGUCAUGAUGUAAAUGAAAUGCGUGACGUCAUGACGUCGCGGGACCGCCUCGCUGGAGCCAAAUGGCGGCGGCCACAGCGGUGAAACGAUGCCCUGGAUUCAGAGCUUCUCCCCCGCUCACCUGUACAGCAACCUGGAGGGGGUUGCUCCCCUCAUCCACCUGCUGGGGGUCCCGGGCACCCGCCAUAGGGUUACCAACCCACCAGGCAAUUGAAGACCAGUUGGAAGGAUACUGUUGUGUGCAGCACUGGAGAAAACUCAUAAAUAGAUUGUGCUUUUUCUUUCAACAUUUCUCUUUAACAGAUGUAAAAAUAUUGAAACUGGGGAAAAUGGGCUGUUUGGCUGAUAGUCAAACAUCAUCCAAUUGGCUACUGGGUCUUUUUACUUUCCAAUUGGCGUAGGAAGGUGGUCUAAGCAACAAGGAUGGAUGUGUUGGCUGACUCACAGCUAGAGCUUGGGGGCAUAAAACCAAUGAAACGCUAAUGAUAGAGGAUUGUGCCAGUGAAGUAUCUUCAAGGGAUGAUUUUGAAGAUGAAACUAUGAGUCUGCAGAGCUGCAAAUUAAGGAACUCUGUUGCAUCUAUUGACUACAACCAUCAUUUGGACCGUUCAUAUCAAUGUAAAUGUUAAUGAUUUUGUAGUAAUUGUCACCUUUAGGAUUCAGAAAGUAGUAAUAAUUCUGUUGGGCUUGGCAGUUCAUUUCAGUUCUUGAUGUCGUGUUAUAGUUUACAUUGUUUAAACCAAAUAUAAUAAUAGAACUAUGGGAAGUGGCAACUGUUACCUUGUCUCAACUGGUAACAUUCAUCUCAGUCAGAAGGUUGUGAGUAGGAAUAGGACAUACACCCCUUGAACCUGAUCCAUCAUUCAGUAAGAUCAUGGCUGAACUUCUAUAUUAACUCUACUUUCCCAUCCUAUCCACAUACCCCUUGAGUGCCCAAAAUCUAUCAGCCUAAGUCUUUAAAACAUUAAUUGACUGGGGUAGAAAAUUCCAAAAAAUUACUAUCUUCUGAGUGAAGAAAUGUUCUCCUCAUCUCAGUUCUAAGUGGCUGAUCCCUUAACCUAAGACAAUGCCCCCUAGUUCUAGACUCUUCAGCUAGGGAAACCACCUUUCAAUCAGCUUGAUUGAGAACACCUCUCAUUCUUCUAAAUUCCAGAGAUUAUAGGAUAAUUUGUUCAAUCUCUCCUUGCAUGAUAUCCCUCUUAUCUCAGUCUAACAAACUUAUGUUGCAUCCUGUCUAAGACAAGUAUAUCCUUCCUUCAGUUAAGGAGACCAAAACUGUACACAGUACUCCAGAUGUUGUCUCAUCGAAGAUCUUUAUAAUUGCAGCAAAACUUCCUUACUCUUUGUUCCAAACCCCUUGCGAGGUUUAAAAUAUAAGCUCACAACAAUGCAAUACUUAAGGAGUAUUGGGUAGUCAGGAGUGCCAACAUUUGGAGAGAUAUUGUAAAGCAUUUUCAGCUUAUUCAGGUGUGUUAUUGAUCCAUGGCACUAUUCUGAGAAGAGUAGGGUCAUCUCCCAGUGACCAAGGACAUUGCUUCCUCAACUGGUUCCAUUUUGGAAAAAAAAAACACAAUAGCUAAGUUUAUAACUGGAUAACUGUGGUCAUGGUACAUAAAACUUACUCACUCUUCCAGAACCAUUUCAUCCAAUUCAGGAUUUCAGGGAUUGGAGCCAAUCCCAACAGACAAUGGGUGCUAGGUGGGGGUCCACCCAGGACACUCACACACACACUAGGGGAUCUUUUGCCAUAGCUAAUCCACCUAACCACCACGUCUUUGGAUGGUGGCAGAAACCCCCACAGACAUGGAGAGAACGUGCAAAUUGCACACAGACACCCAAGGCCAGGAUCAAACCCGGGUCCCUGGAGCUGUGAGGCAGCAGCGCUAACCACUACGCCACUGUGCCACCCGCAUAUAUAAAUCUCGUAAAUAUAAUUACUUUUGAAAUGUUUUGACAAGUGCAACAUAAUGACAUGUAUAUCAAUAACUAGUCUGUUUGUACAUUCAAGAAGGCCAUUUUGCAAAAUGAAUUACUUUAUGACUGAUGAAAAAUUCAGCCUGCUAAUAGCAUGUAUGAUUGACUAAAAGAUCAUCAAUAAAAUAUAAACUAAAGUUUA